rnacentral:rRNA from 1 species
AUGGAUGAAGAUGAGGAUGAUGAUGGCCCAAGAAAUUUGCACAAGCCCGAUGGUGACAAGAAGACCAAGAAGAAGAUGAAGAGAGAGCAAGAAGCAUCAAGCUUGAGGGAGAAUAUUGAUGUCAUGUUGCAAUCCAACGAGUCGAUGUUGUUGAAAUCAUUGGAAAUCAAGAAAGAGUUGGCCGAGAAGAAGCAAGAAAAGUGGCAGUUGCUCAAGGAAGAGGGGCUGCGCAAAGCUGCCAUCGAGGAGAGAAGAGCACGAGCCACCGAAAACAAAUCUAUGUCCAUGUUGCUCGCCGAAGAGAACAAUAUCAUGUCAAUGAACCACAAUGAUAUGGACGACCUCACCAAAACAUGGCAUGAUAUGGCAAGGAGGAAAAUCUUGAAGAGAAGAAUGGUGGCGUCGGCCGGUUCGUGCUACAGUUCCGGUGAUGUUUUCUUCGCUCCAUAUGGUGGCAAUGUGGAUGAUUUCGGUGCGGGAGUUGGAACAAGCGCCGGAGAUGGAUUCGGUGGCGCCGAUGAACUCCAAGAUGGACUCGAUGGUGCGGAGUGA